rnacentral:rRNA from 1 species
UGCACGCUGGCGGCGUGCCUCAUACAUGCACGUCGCGCGCACGGACGCGAAGCUUGCUUUUCUGAUGUUAGCGGCGGACGGGUGAGUAACACGUGGAUAACCUACCUAUAAGACUGGGAUAACUUCGGGAAACCGGAGCUAAUACCGGAUAAUAUUUUGAACCGCAUGGUUCAAAAGUGAAAGACGGUCUUGCUGUCACUUAUAGAUGGAUCCGCGCUGCAUUAGCUAGUUGGUAAGGUAACGGCUUACCAAGGCAACGAUGCAUAGCCGACCUGAGAGGGUGAUCGGCCACACUGGAACUGAGACACGGUCCAGACUCCUACGGGAGGCAGCAGUAGGGAAUCUUCCGCAAUGGGCGAAAGCCUGACGGAGCAACGCCGCGUGAGUGAUGAAGGUCUUCGGAUCGUAAAACUCUGUUAUUAGGGAAGAACAUAUGUGUAAGUAACUGUGCACAUCUUGACGGUACCUAAUCAGAAAGCCACGGCUAACUACGUG